rnacentral:rRNA from 1 species
AGUGAACGCUGGCGGUAGGCCUAACACAUGCAAGUCGAACGGCAGCACAGUAAGAGCUUGCUCUUACGGGUGGCGAGUGGCGGACCGGUGAGGAAUACAUCGGAAUCUACUUUUUCGUGGGGGAUAACGUAGGGAAACUUACGCUAAUACCGCAUACGACCUACGGGUGAAAGCAGGGGAUCUUCGGACCUUGCGCGAUUGAAUGAGCCGAUGUCGGAUUAGCUAGUUGGCGGGGUAAAGGCCCACCAAGGCGACGAUCCGUAGCUGGUCUGAGAGGAUGAUCAGCCACACUGGAACUGAGACACGGUCCAGACUCCUACGGGAGGCAGCAGUGGGGAAUAUUGGACAAUGGGCGCAAGCCUGUUCCAGCCAUACCGCGUGGGUGAAGAAGGCCUUCGGGUUGUAAAGCCCUUUUGUUGGGAAAGAAAAGCAGCAGGUUAAUACCCCGCUGUUCUGACGGUACCCAAAGAAUAAGCACCGGCUAACUUCGUG